rnacentral:rRNA from 1 species
GGCCGCGGGAAUUCGAUUAGAGUUUGAUUCUGGCUCACGCUUAACGCUGGCGGCGUGCCUAAUACAUGCAAGUCGAACGCACCUUUUCGGUGGUGAGUGGCGAACGGGUGAGUAAAAGAUAAGUAACCUGCCCUAGGCAGGGGGAUAACGACCGGAAACGGACGCUAAAACCGCAUAGGCUGGGAGAUCGCAUGAGAAUCCAGUUAAAUGUCCUGAAAGGGACAGGCAAAGGAGGGACUUAUCACGCAUUAGCUAGUUGGUGGGGCAACGGCCUACCAAGGCGACGAUGCGUAGCCGGCCUGAGAGGGCGGACGGCCACACUGGGACUGAGACACGGCCCAGACUCCUACGGGAGGCAGCAGUAGGGAAUUUUCGGCAAUGGGCGAAAGCCUGACCGAGCAACGCCGCGUGAACGAAGAAGGUCUUCGGAUUGUAAAGUUCUGUUAUAGAGGAAGAACGGUGUACGUAGGAAAUGACGUACAAGUGACGGUACUCUGUGAGGAAGCCACGGCUAACUACGUGCCAGCAGCCGCGGUAAUACGUAGGUGGCGAGCGUUAUCCGGAAUCAUUGGGCGUAAAGAGGGAGCAGGCGGCCUGGAGGGUCUAUUGUUAAAAGGCAGUGGCUUAACCAUUGCAAGGCGAAGAAACCGGCAGGCUAGAGUUCUAAAGAGGAUCGUGGAAUUCCAUGUGUAGCGGUGAAAUGCGUAGAUAUAUGGAGGAACACCAGUGGCGAAGGCGACGAUCUGGGAAGAAACAGACGCUGAGUCCCGAAAGCGUGGGGAGCAAAUAGGAUUAAAUACCCUAGUAGUCCACG